UAGCGGGGAUGGCGCCACCUUAACAAGGUGGUGGCACAGAACUUUCUGCUUCAGCUGCCUGCAGCCUCGCCUUGGUUCUGCGGUAGUGGUGUUCACUGGCAGCUGCAGAUCGGAAAUGCUUGAGGUCUUAAAAAAAUGCAUGGGCUUCUCCCCAAACUAGUUAAAUGGGAAUCACUGGCGAUUCUCAUUUCAGAGAACUGGUGGUUUUUUCUAAGUACCUCAGGGAAGUUUAGCGUCUGCUCAGUUGAGAAUCAGUGUUCUACCCGGAAGGGCACUCGUAGCCUGGUUUCGUAUGGACAUGAACAGGAGAGCCUCCUGUCUUCUCCCGGAUCUUUGUGGGCAAGGGUGGGGCUGGCGGUUAUUCCCUGCAAGCUGUGCUUAUCUAGGGAGCGUCCCUGGGAGGGUUUGGGGUCUGGGAGGUCUGCUCGCACCACUUGCUGCAGCUGGGGGUGGGUCCACGAGUGGCCUCGGGCACUUGGGUAGCACACAGUGGUCUGGAGAGGUGGUGGUGCUUCUCUCAGAGGUUUUCAUUAGAGGCUGUCUUUUCAGCUGUAAUGGUGGCUAUCCUGCUGAAGCUUGGAACUUCUGGACAAGAAAAGGCCUGGUUUCUGGUGGCCUCUAUGAAUCCCAUGUAGGGUGCAGACCGUACUCCAUCCCUCCCUGUGAGCACCACGUCAACGGCUCCCGGCCCCCAUGCACGGGGGAGGGAGAUACCCCCAAGUGUAGCAAGAUCUGUGAGCCUGGCUACAGCCCGACCUACAAACAGGACAAGCACUACGGAUACAAUUCCUACAGCGUCUCCAAUAGCGAGAAGGACAUCAUGGCCGAGAUCUACAAAAACGGCCCCGUGGAGGGAGCUUUCUCUGUGUAUUCGGACUUCCUGCUGUACAAGUCAGGAGUGUACCAACACGUCACCGGAGAGAUGAUGGGCGGCCAUGCCAUCCGCAUCCUGGGCUGGGGAGUGGAGAAUGGCACACCCUACUGGCUGGUUGCCAACUCCUGGAACACUGACUGGGGUGAUAAUGGCUUCUUUAAAAUACUCAGAGGACAGGAUCACUGUGGAAUCGAAUCAGAAGUGGUGGCUGGAAUUCCACGCACCGAUCAGUACUGGGAAAAGAUCUAAUCUGCCGUGGGCCUGUCGUGCCAGUCCUGGGGGUGAGAUGGGGGUAGAAAUGCAUUUUAUUCUUUGAGUUCACGUAACAUACAAGUUUUAGACAGGGUCUGAAGGACUGGAUUGGCCAAACAUCAGACCUGUCUUCCAAGGAGACCAAGUCCUGGCUACAUCCAAGCCUGUGGUUACAGUGCAGACAGGCCAUAUGAGCCACCGCUGCCAGCACAGAGCGUCUUUCCCCCUGUAGACUAGUGCCGUAGGGAGUACCUGCUGCCCCAGCUGACUGUGGCCCCCUCUGUGAUCCAUCCACCUCCAGGGAGCAAGACAGAGACCCAGGAAUGGAGGAAUGGAAAGCGGAGUUCCUAACAGGAUGAAAGAUCCCCCAGUACCUCCAAGCAAGUAGCUUUCCACAUUUGUCACAAAAAUCAGAGGAGAGAUGGUGUUGGGAGCCCUUUGGAGAACGCCAGUCUCCCAGGCCCCCUGCAUCUAUCGAGUUUGCAAUGUCACCACCUCUCUGAUCUUGUGCUCAGCAUGAUUCUUUAAUAGAAGUUUUAUUUUUUCGUGCACUCUGCUAAUCAUGUGGGUGAGCCAGUCGAACAGCUGGGAGACCUGUGCUAGUUUUACAGAUUGCCUCCUAAUGACGCGGCUCAAAAGGAAACCAAGUGGUCAGGAGUUGUUUCUGACCAACUGAUCUCUACUACCACAAGGAAGAAACCAGCUUUUACUGUUUUUUAAAAAUUACAGCUUCACCCUGUCAAGUUAACAAGGAAUGCCUGUGCCAAUAAAAGGUUUCUCCAACUUGAAGUCUACUCUGAUGGGAUCUCAGAUCCUUUGUCACUGCCUAUAGACUUGUAGCUGCUGUCUCUCUUUGUCCCUGCAGAGAAUCACGUCCUGGAACUGCAUGUUCUUGCCACUCUUGGGACUUCAACUUAACUUCUCGCUGCCCCAGCCAUGUUUUCAACCAUGGCAUCCCUCCCUCUUAGUUCCCUGUCGUCCUCGUCAACCUUCUCUGUAAGUCCUUGGUAAGCUUGCCCUUGCUUAGGAACUCACAACAUAGCUGUGCUCUAUUUUUUUUGUUGUUGAGACGGAAUCUC
rnacentral:sRNA from 1 species